GUCACCGCCUUCACUGUGACUCUUCUAUAUUAUGGAAUGGCAAGCUGGUCGGCUGGGGACUUCUCUCUCUGUGCUUCAAUACUGCUCAGUCACCACCUUCACUGUGACUCUUCUAUAUUAUGGAAUGGCAAGCUGGUCGGCUGGGGACUUCUCUCUCUGUGCUUCAAUACUGCUCAGUCACCGCCUUCACUGUGACUCUUCUAUAUUAUGGAAUGGCAAGCUGGUCGGCUGGGGACUUCUCUCUCUGUGCUUCAAUACUGCUCAGUCACCACCUUCACUGUGACUCUUCUAUAUUAUGGAAUGGCAAGCUGGUCGGCUGGGGACUUCUCUCUCUGUGCUUCAAUACUGCUCAGUCACCACCUUCACUGUGACUCUUCUAUAUUAUGGAAUGGCAAGCUGGUCGGCUGGGGACUUCUCUCUCUGUGCUUCAAUACUGCUCAGUCACCACCUUCACUGUGACUCUUCUAUAUUAUGGAAUGGCAAGCUGGUCGGCUGGGGACUUCUCUCUCUGUGCUUCAAUACUGCUCAGUCACCGCCUUCACUGUGACUCUUCUAUAUUUUGCUCCCCAUCUCCUCAGUCAGGGAAAACCAAUGGAGAUUGUCUUUGGGAUUAUCCACCAGGAAAACAGUGUGGACCGAAGCGUUAGUUUUGGCGGUGUUGAUGUGUUAUUUGGUAGCUAAGCUCAUAAGCCAUCCCCUUCCUUGUCUUUGUUUUCUUAUUGGCUUAAAGCAAUUACAAUCUCAGGAGAGGGCGCUUGGUUUCUGGGGGCUUGUCGGGGAGCGCUCUCUGGGGAGAAUAGUGAUUGACUGCCAGCCUGCUUUAUGAACAGGGAUUAAUAACUCUCCCAGUUAAUAAGGACAUGUUGCACAGAGACAGGGACGAAAGUUUGGGGUUUUGCAUUGAUUAAGUUAUGACAUACUUUCCCCCUGUCAGUGGAAAGGCACUGUGGAGCUCUAGUGGAAGCUGGCGGUACUGCUGGAGGAGAGUCAUUUUCCCCUGACCUUUUAUUAGAAGUGUGAAUAAUUGUUGUGGAUUGGAGUUUGGAUUUGUGAGAUGUGAUAAAGGUAAACCAGCUGGAUGGAAGUGCUAUGGUAUUAAUAUGGUUGUUUGCAAACCCAGGAAACUGUUCCAAGUAGACUCACUUUCCAACGUUUUUUUCUGUGUGUGUGCCCACACACAAGUGUCGUUGUCGUGUGUGUAUGUGUAUGUGUGUGUGUGUCCCAGUUUUCUCUGUUUGAGCUGAAGUAGGUGUUGGAAUUCAAUCAGAUAUUGCUGUACUCAGCAGAUUGGAUUUAGUCAAAGCAGUGCUUCCCAUAUUCCAUCAGAGUCGAGAGGUAGAGAGUCGAGAGGUAGAGAGUCGAGAGGUAGAGAGUCGAGAGGUAGAGAGUCGAGAGGUAGAGAGUCGAGAGGUAGAGAGUCGAGAGGUAGAGAGUCGAGAGGUAGAGAGUCGAGAGGUAGAGAGUCGAGAGGUAGAGAGUCGAGAGGUAGAGAGUCGAGAGGUAGAGAGUCGAGAGGUAGAGAGUCGAGAGGUAGAGAGUCGAGAGGUAGAGAGUCGAGAGGUAGAGAGUCGAGAGGUAGAGAGUCGGAG